GAUGAACGCUAGCGGCAGGCCUAACACAUGCAAGUCGAGGGGCAGCACGAGUAGCAAUACUUGGUGGCGACCGGCGCACGGGUGAGUAACGCGUAUGCAACCUACCUUUAACUGGAGAAUAGCUCGAAGAAAUUCGGAUUAAUACUCCAUAAUAUUAUCUGAUGGCAUCAGAGGAUAAUUAAAGCUCCGGCGGUUAAAGAUGGGCAUGCGUGCCAUUAGCUAGUUGGUAAGGUAACGGCUUACCAAGGCUACGAUGGCUAGGGGGUCUGAGAGGAUGAUCCCCCACACUGGAACUGAGACACGGUCCAGACUCCUACGGGAGGCAGCAGUGAGGAAUAUUGGUCAAUGGGGGCAACCCUGAACCAGCCAUGCCGCGUGAAGGAUGAAGGCCUUAUGGGUUGUAAACUUCUUUUGUACGGGGCGAACUGUUUUAUGCGUAAAGACUUGACAGUACCGUACGAAUAAGCAUCGGCUAACUCCGUGCCAGCAGCCG
rnacentral:rRNA from 1 species